rnacentral:lncRNA from 12 species
UAACUCCAGAACAGAAACCUACAGUUUUAGCCCUCUUCUCCCUCCAGUAAAACUGGAGGAGGCAAAAUCUCCUGCAGCAUCCCAAAUAAAGGAGUAAUGCCCAGAAUGCAGGAGAAUCCAGUUACCCAUGGUGAUGUUGAUGCCUGUUGCUUGGGAAUGGAAUUAACUUCCAUCAUCCUGCACAGCCUCCAUCUUCUGCAGCAGGUGAGCAGGGCAAGCAAGAAAAGCACCCAACCAAGUAAUACCUUUCCAAAGAGCAGAAUUAUCUGUCACAGCAGGGAUGGCACCCCAUGGAAAUUUGCAGCACACAAAGUGAGCUUCAAUGUCCUUUUACAUAAAAUUCCUUCUGUCCCUUUGUCUUCCCACACCCUCUGUGUGCCUCAGACCUCUCAGUCUUUCCUAACCACCCACAGGGAGGAAACAGCACCUACAGUAGCUGAUUGCAGCCAUAAAAGUGCCACAGAGCUGCAUCAUAUGUUUGCUUAUCUGCUGACCAUCACUACAACACGGAAUGUUACACAGGUGUAACUACGCACAACAGUUUGGACCAAAGGUAAGAAAUCACUGUACAUAUCAAGACAACAAAGACACAGAAGGAGUUCUUCUGGCAUGGCUUAGUUAAGUCUACUGCUUCUCUUAGCACAUGUAUUUAGGACAUGCUGAGUGGCUUGGCUGGAUGCUACUUUCUACAGCAGAGAUGUUAGUCACAGAAGCGUUUCCCUAGGCAGCAGAAAUCAUCUCUUGCAGCACUGGAUACUGGCUGUGAUGACCAGUGUGUGGUAGGACAAACUGCACAGUUUUACGUCUUCAAGGAAGAGUAUGAGGUUUCACACAGGAAUCAGCUGGUUGACUGCCACAAAUAUUUGCAUUAAAUUCCCAAAGGCAUCUGCACUGCUUACUGGGAAAAAAGAAAAAAAAGAAUCUGAUUUAGUGAAAGCAACAAUAAAUGAUGUUUAGCAACAGACAGAAUUCAGCAGGUCAUUUUCU